GGCAUGCUUAACACAUGCAAGUCGAACGAGACCUUUGGGUCUAGUGGCGCACGGGUGCGUAACGCGUGGGAAUCUACCCUUUGCUACGGAAUAACUCAGAGAAAUUUGUGCUAAUACCGUAUGAUGUCGAAAGACCAAAGAUUUAUCGGCAAAGGACGAGCCCGCGUAGGAUUAGCUAGUUGGUGUGGUAAAGGCGCACCAAGGCGACGAUCCUUAGCUGGUCUGAGAGGAUGAUCAGCCACACUGGGACUGAGACACGGCCCAGACUCCUACGGGAGGCAGCAGUGGGGAAUAUUGGACAAUGGGCGAAAGCCUGAUCCAGCAAUGCCGCGUGAGUGAUGAAGGGUUUCGGCUCGUAAAACUCUGUUAUUAGGGAAGAACAAAUGUGUAAGUAACUGUGCACGUCUUGACGGUACCUAAUCAG
rnacentral:rRNA from 1 species